rnacentral:rRNA from 1 species
AUUGAACGCUGGCGGCAUGCUUUACACGUGCAAGUCGAACGGCAGCGCGGGCUUCGGCCUGGCGGCGAGUGGCGAACGGGUGAGUAAUACAUCGGAACGUGCCCAGCUGUGGGGGCUAGGGGGGCGAAAGCCGGAUUAAUACCGCAUACGACCUGAGGGUGAAAGCGGGGGAUCUUCGGACCUUGCGCUAUUGGAGCGGCCGAUGGCAGAUUAGCUAGUUGGUGGGGUAAAGGCCUACCAAGGCGACGAUCUGUAGCUGGUCUGAGAGGACGACCAGCCACACUGGAACUGAGACACGGCCCAGACUCCUACGGGAGGCAGCAGUGGGGAAUUUUGGACAAUGGGCGAAAGCCUGAUCCAGCAAUGCCGCGUGUGUGAUGAAGGCCUUCGGGUUGUAAAGCACUUUUGGCGGGAACGAAAAGGACUGUGCCAAUACCACGGUUCGAUGACGGUACUCGCAGAAUAAGCACCGGCUAACUACGUG